AUUCCCUUCCCCGCUCAUCCUCUCGGGUGGACUGAAACCAGCUGCUACCCUCUCAAUCGAAGCUUUGAGGGCUCCAACGCAAUGCCGUGGAUAGCGACGGAGGCUUUGGUUUCAACAAUGUUACGACGAGCUGUCACCGCCGUCCUCGCCCUCAUCUCCCUCCUCCUCGUCUUCUUCCUCCUCCGCAACAAUUCUCAGGUGGAAUCUGGAAAGGCUCCUGAGAUAACUAAUAGAGUGUAUUUGGAUGUUGAUAUUGAUGGCCAGCACGCAGGUAGAAUUGUUAUUGGAUUGUAUGGACAGGUG
rnacentral:misc_RNA from 1 species